CGCGUGGGCUCCCAGCGCUGCCUGGCGGCGAGGGCGAUCCGGCUUCCUGGCCGCACGCCGCCUUGGAGCCUCGGGGAGCGGCUGGCGGUGUUCCUGCAGGCAGUGGCCUUGCAGCUCCUCAGCUGGAUCCUGGUUUUGGACCUGUGUGGGAUGCCAGUGAUGUGGCGGUAGGUGAUGGAGAUUUCUCUUCUCCUCUGGACCCUGGAUUUGAACCCGGCGGUGUGGCCGGUGAGAGAAGCACAGAUGCUGCAGAGCCAAAAGACGUACAAAAGCAUCGCAUGGUGCUCACCACAACAGUCUUGAGUAUCCUCUUGGCUGGGACAGUGUUGUGUUGCCUAGUUACUUGGCUGCUGAGGAAGAGGAGACGCUUUCGUUACCCCACAACUCCUACUCAGAGGCAGGGUGCCAGGCACCAUGGGGGCUGCACGCCGCUCGCCCGGCACCCCGGCAUCAGCACUGGCCUGGCCCAGCCAGGCGGCUACUGGGGCC
rnacentral:lncRNA from 1 species